rnacentral:lncRNA from 1 species
UAAAAUAAAAUCAUAGAGCGUGAGCGUGAUUGAAUGGUUGCAGCGGCACGCUGUCUCAAAUAGUAUUUCGGCAAAUAAAGUCAAUUCCAUGACAAUCACAUUCAGUAUCUCUUAUCUGUAAUUAUGUUGCUCGUAUGACACCCGGCGAUGUCGAAUGGCAUGAUGACGUACCUAACUUUGUACACUCUAUCUAUGGUUAUCGACGAUUUAGUUAUAACAGCAAGUAAUAAAGCCAAGUGUUUCUCAAGAAGAGAGGUCAAUCUCAUGAUUGCUACAUCAAGCACGCUACUACAUUCACACAAGAUCCCAUCAGCUGCCUCGCGUUACGCCAGAUGAUGAGCCAGAUGAUGAAUCACCCAAGGGCAGCUUGUUCGGAGAGUCGACGGUAAUGAUGACUUGUUCUUUUCCAGUAGAUUCUUCCCUGCUGAGCUGCAAGGCUUCAGCAGAGAAGCUACCACCCAGCUGGUUCCUCUGGCCAUUGGCCUCCGUGAACAGCCUCCCUACUUCGAAGAUGAUAACUCUAGCUUGGGCUUCCACCUGAUAGCUGUCUGCUGCGUAGCAACUGUCCAUACGGUUCAUAGCUGUAGGUAAACAGGAAAGCAUCAGUGUCAACAUCAAUCAAUAGAUAUAACUAGAAAACGUACGAGUAGGCCUAUAGAUUUCCAUUUUCAAUGAUUCACUUCUUGAUGGAUGAUGUACAGCACCAGAAGACUCCAGACCAAGUAACUCCAGGUCCAUGUUUGAUGGCAGCAGCAGAGGACUCCUGGAGGUACGAUGCUGUUUUGGUUCUCCGCCUUCAAAGUUCCUUCUAGUAAGAUGCCGAUGUAAUUAUGCUCGAGCAUGAUGUCUACACCCUUGGUGUACAAGUUCAUAGUAGAUCCUGUGCUGACGAGAAGCCGCGUCUCUUGCAUUGUCAUUCUCUCGAACACACGUGGGAUCAAGAGCUUAGCAAUGACUGCGGCACUUUCCUGAAAAUUCCAUGUAUGUAUGAUAAAGGACUAGCGGGUUAGAUUCUUUCACCAUGUUCCCCCCUCAAAAAAAGAUAUAGAUUGUUAGGCACAAGAAACAUUGUCACAUCCGAAGUAACCGAUUUGGGUGAACAGAGGAUGGAAGCCCAAGCAAGCUGUGAUGCGUGCGUAGUUUCACACCAAAAUGGGUAAACAAAUUCUCGGCCACAAGAAUAUUACAGAAAUACAUAAAUCAUUUGAGACAAGGUGACACGACAAGGCAUCUAGGGGCCAUUUCCCUUUGAUGUAACAAUCAAGGGAAAGCAGAUAAAUCAAAGUACUAUGUUGUAGUAUAUAUCUCUAGUGUUUUUGUUUUUGGUUGGAGGGCAGAAACAGAAGAAAUGCAACCUCGACAUUUCUGUUUUUCUUGUGAACAUGUGGAGGGGAAAGUUAGCUGGGUUCCUCUUUUUAGAAAUUUUCAAAAUUUUGAACUCUUUCGAAUUUGAGAUUGUGUAGAAAGAAGAUACAAUUCUACUCGAACUUGGUUAAAAAAGAAAAGAGGAAACGCCGCUCAUCUGCAAGGUUCUGGUUCUUCGACUGGUAGCCAGCAGUUUUGCUACGUGGUGAUAUUAAGUAAAAUCCAGAAAACAUCUGCUUCUAUGCCCUCGUAGAGUUCAGAAGAAAAAAAAACUAACUGCGCAGUUACAGUAGAUGUAGAAUAAUCACUGAAUUUAAUAAGCACACAAGCAAACAGUAAAAUUAAAGCACACCUGCCACAGAAAAGCCUCAACAGAAGGAUCUGACCGACGCAAUUGAUCUAUCUUUUCCGCUUCAAUGAAGAAACAGCGCACGAGAGAAUCUGUAAUCAUGUCACAGAGACAAGACAUUCCUGUUAGCACCUCGUAUAGACCCAAAGUGCUUCCAUGUGAGAAAAUUGGGUGCAGAGAAUGCCUGCUGCUUAGCCUCUGACUUCUCCACUGUCGAAAAAAGGGGGCAACUUAGGGGGCGGUGAAAUGGCUACCGAGAGCACAUGCUAUCAGGGUGAACAGUAAAUUCGUCAAAAAUGUUGAAGGUAUAUGCUCCAACGAAAUACAGUACUGUUUAGAGCAGUCUUAAGCAGAAACAUACCUUUACUGCUCUGAUCGAAACAAUCCAUAUACCAGUUGCUCUUGAGCCUUCCAUAUAAAGGGCUGCGCCAUGCCCUUUUACUUUUUCUUUUGUAUUGCUUAACAAAGGAGCACGCACAGCAGCAGGCAGUAUGCUGACUAAUGGAUGAGUGCCUAAAAGAUCGCUAACUCUUGGCAUUUUCACUAAUUGUGGAUUCCUCUUAAGCUUCUUCAGAUCUGUCUGACAAGUGAUUAACUUACAUGAAUUGUGAACUGAAACCACUUUGGCAAUUAAUUUUCGAAGCAAAAGGCAAGUCAAACACUCCACUACCUGCCAAGCAUCAUCCAGAUGUGCCAUUUCUUUUUCUUCCAGUAACCCAGUCUUCCGUAGGUUUUGAACAUUCUCACUCAAGUGUGUCAAUACAGCAUAUGUUACUUGUCGAGUCUUUAGCACACAAAGAAGCUGAAAAUGUGGAAACACCUUCAGAAUCUAGGCAACAAUGAACUCUCAGAUUCACCAAUGGGAAACUGCCUUGUUUAUUCAUAUAGUGAAGUUUUUCACCACUACUGCAGAAUUGUUGUAUGACAAUGAAAUGAAGUAUUCCAAAGUUCUAUAAAACUAGGGCAUGUCUCGAAUGUAGAGAGUUCUGCAACAAUUUCACAUGAAUUUUGCAGGAAACAAAAUCUGGAAAACAAAACUAACAAAAUCAAUUCCAAACUCCGAAGCUAACCAUUUACAUCCACUCACCCUAGCGAUGCCAUACAAGCACAUGGAAAUUCUCUACAGAUCAAAAAUUAGAGUCCCAGUUCAGUUGAGAUGGUGCUUUCUCGAGUUUUGCAAAAGAUAACUGGUUGUUGAGUGAACUGUCGAGCUAUUGUGCUGGAGGCUGAAGGCUCCAUAAUAGUUAAGUCUACAGAUAAAUGCACAUUGUAAGCACAAACCUGAGGGAAUGUACAGCGAACUUCUUCCAAGAACUUCCUAGCUUCCUCUCCCCCAGCAUUACUUUCAUCAAUAACAAUUUUUGCAAUCUCACUAUCACCUGAUGAAAUAAGUAUACGGAAUAUUGGUAAGUAACUAGGAUCAUAUGUGCAAGUUGAACUCCACAUAUCUUAAAAAAUAGGGUCAGAGGAGAAAAUAGAAUUUGAGGACGAUGACUUUAGAUAGGCUUUACAUAGUUCAACCUUAAUAAGCUAAAUGGUUUGAGCCACGCGUCCAUCUGCACCAUACCACUUUCGACGUAUCUUAAAAAAUAGGGUCUGUAGCUGAUUGAUUCUACAGAAAGAUAGACUGGCUCCGACAAAUAACAAAAUACUACUUUCUGUUCUGCUUAUGGACUAUAACGACGAACAACUACGCAUAACAUCUGGCAUAUGCACCACGUAUUGUGACCAAUAUUCAUGUACUGCCUCCGAUCCAUGGAUUGAGUACUAAGAUCUGGAAUUGGUAGCACAAAGAAAUGGUAAAUAACAAGCACAUAAAAGCAUUCUAAAAGUUUUCCAAGAUUUUACCAAGAAAAUCUUAUAGUUGUCUCCUUGCAAUUCUAUGAGCACGAAGAAAUGCAGCACAGAUGUAACAUCCUGACUCCAAUCUUUGUACUGUGAAGUAUGUGAUAAAACUUUGUGGUAACAUGCUUGCAGAAAGGAACCUAUAGUAACUUGGGAAAUGGACACUGGACUGCAAACUGUUCCAAUCACAUAAUGGUCGGCUAGAAACAAGAUCCAUAGCUUCAUCAACUGAUCGCAUCAAAAUAUUUGCUGUAGCUUGAGUUAUCUGUCCCUGGUCAAGCAUUGCCCAGUAACUGGCUUGCACACCUGAAAGCAAUAUUUACAAAAGGAAAAAAAAUUCUUUGUUAACUGAUCGCAUUUAGUAUGAAACUAAACAUCUCCAUAAAAUAAGGAGACAAGAUAGAAUUAUGGACGAAAUAUCAAGCCAACUAUUUAGGNNNNNNNNNNNNNNNNNNNNNNNNNNNNNNNNNNNNNNNNNNNNNNNNNNNNNNNNNNNNNNNNNNNNNNNNNNNNNNNNNNNNNNNNNNNNNNNNNNNNNNNNNNNNNNNNNNNNNNNNNNNNNNNNNNNNNNNNNNNNNNNNNNNNNNNNNNNNNNNNNNNNNNNNNNNNNNNNNNNNNNNCCAUCCUUUAAAUUCAUGGUAUGUACGUGAUCAUGAUUGUCAUCAUGUGGAUGUGCAUGUUCAUCUUCCAAGUUACUCAAGCCUGUGAUAUAUUUCUUAACUGUAACCCAGUCAGCAGGACCAAGCUCCUCAUCAUCUUUGAGAUCACCAAAAGCUUCUAAUGUCUUGUUUAGAAUUUCAUGUCUAGUAUAAUUCAACAUGCGAAGCUGCAGCAGUAAUCAGAAUACAUUUUUUAUGCCGAACCUGAACAGAACAUUACUAUACUACAUAUAUAUAUUCAUCAAUCACAUGUGAAACCAUGAAGUACUGAUAUUUCUGGAAGCAACAAGGUAUCAGUCACACAAAACCUACCCCACGGAGUUGCUGGAUGAAGAGGUUUAAGGAAAAAAUAGUAAGCAAGGCUGAGAACACCUUUGGGACUUACAAAUAGGUUCAACUGAAAGAGAAAUUAAUCAUUUUUAUGCCAUGGUUAUAUAAGAUGCUAAUCCACCAACCCUGAACUCAUAGGCACAGAAAUAAAAUAUGUGUAACAAUCACACCAUAUAAUCUUCCUAUUUACUGAUUAAUCUAGGGGAAAUGACAGAGGAGUUAGAGUUCAAAAGAUUUCAUAUUAUCACACAGAAAAGCAAAUUCUUUAACUCCAAGGUUAAAAAAAAACACAGAUGAAGCUCGUAAUUUGUAAAGCUAACCUUUGUUACUGACAGGUUGUCCAUACCAAGUGCGUGCAACAAAAUUUGUGUGGUAGAACCAUUCAAUAUCAGUGUCAGAAACACAAUGCCACCAGUGAAGAACACAAACUGCAAAAUGAUGGAUAAAAUAAGACUUCCUCAAAUUAAAUUUUCUGAUUUUGUAUUUUUUCAGGAAAAAUUAACCUACCAUUGUUCCGACUUCUGGUUUCAGAAAAGGUUGAGCUGUAUCACUAGCACGCUGGUAAAAAGUAACCCAGUAACACCUUGAAUUAUUAUCAUAGACUAAUUUUUUGAAGAACAAAAGUAGACUAAUAUAGUGAUAAUAAGAGACAAAUGAGAUGGUCAAGUGGUACAUGAAUAUAACUUACUUUAACAGACAGUGCUAAUGAUAGGGAAACAGCACCUCGCAGCCCAGACCAAAUAAUAAUUAUGGCUUCUUUGAAGUCCAAACCAUACCCAAAGUAGCGCAACAAAAGAUACAGAGCACCAACAACUGCAGCCCGUGCCAUUUGUACAUAGAAAUAGAGCAGAAGAAGAAACCCCCAUGAAGUGCCUGAAAGAGCAAGAGAUAAACGGAAUUUAUACACCACAUGANNNNNNNNNNNNNNNNNNNNNNNNNNNNNNNNNNNNNNNNNNNNNNNNNNNNNNNNNNNNNNNNNNNNNNNNNNNNNNNNNNNNNNNNNNNNNNNNNNNNNNNNNNNNNNNNNNNNNNNNNNNNNNNNNNNNNNNNNNNNNNNNNNNNNNNNNNNNNNNNNNNNNNNNNNNNNNNNNNNNNNNNNNNNNNNNNNNNNNNNNNNNNNNNNNNNNNNNNNNNNNNNNNNNNNNNNNNNNNNNNNNNNNNAGCAGUUAAGACAUGUAUACAUAUUUCUGGUUCAACAGCAUGAAGAUGGAUUAGAACAAAAAGUAUAGUACACAGAAGUUGUUUCAAGCACUUGCAAAUAUGAUCAAACUGCAAUUCUACUGACUAACAUGAUUCAUUUUUUUCAAGGUCAAGAAAAGAAAAAUGCAAUGACAGCAAACACCAAUUGUGCUACCCGCAAAAAAAAACACCAUUGUGCUGCCCCAAAGAUGGGUGGUUAAAACAACAUAUCUCAGCAGAACUAUUGGCUAACUGAGAUGCCAAGUGUUUAUCCACAUAAUCAGUUGGCUGCAGUUUGCGGCAUUCAUAAUUGAGCUGAUGAUCCCCAGAAAUAUCGAUAAGCAUGACAAAGAAGUGUGUUAUAAGAGGAUUUAGCUCAAUAACUAUGUCAACAACUCGUUACCAUGAUGUAUAAAUAAAGCACUCACUGAACCAACACAGGCAUGAAAUGAUGCUGCAUGAUGCAAACUACGAAAAACAUGCUUUUAUAAUAAACCAAAGAAAGGUUCAGUUGGCAAUGAACAAGGAGAAUUUAAAAUGAAGUAGACAUGCUUGUUUUGCAGUUUUGCAUGAAACCAAACAGUAGACAAAGAUAAGUGAAGAUAUUACCGUGCCUCUCAAAAUGGACAUUAUGUCUUAGCACACCAUCUGCAAUAAUAACUCCACUGAGGGUAAUACACACAUGUAAGAAACAUCAUAAUGGUGUCAAUAUAAAGUACUAUCAAACUAAAUAAAUGCAAGCAUAAUCUGGUUUGGGCGUUUAGCUAUGAAAAAUAGAAGAUCUGAAAAAAAAAAUGAAAGUUGGACAAAUAUUGAUACCUCAGUAUGAAAAUAAGUGUGUUCGCAAUGUAAGCAACUAUUUCCCUGAAUACAACAGAACAGCAGUAAGAUACAAAUAGGCAAUCUCAGAAAAUAUGAGUACAUAAAUUGUGAGUGUGUCAUAGUGUCUGCUCAGGGUGUCAUGAGUGCGCAAGAGAAAGCGUACUUACAUAAGAUGACCUGUUCGUACACAAGGCCCAAGGGAUGCUCUACAAGACCGUACCCAAUACCCAUUGCACUAGGGAAGGGCUUACCCUGAAGGAUCCAGCGUUUAAGCCGACUAAGGAUGGUGACAUCUAUGAGACCAACCCGGAGAGAAUCAAGCCCUGACGAAAAGACGCAUAUAUAGGAGGACAACUCAAUUCAAACUCAAGCAACACAACCCUGUUCUUUUGAGGAGCCAAGCAUGGAGAUCGCCAUUCGCCGAGGAUAGACCCCAUCUACUACACCUCCUUUGUUAAAAUCCUCAAGAUAAUAGAGAAAAGUGGGACACUAGAGUAUUGUCAAGUGUUAUAUAGUGCUGUGUAUAGGCCUGUGUAGUUUCUCCAUUAUAUAGGGGUUCAUUUGCAUAUGUACCUUGUACUUCUCUGGCCUGUUUGGCCCAUAGCUAUACAAGGGUUCAGUUCGUAACAAGUAUUACCCAUACAGGAGCCUGAACCUUGGGUAAAUCUGUGUCAACUCAGUCAUCUAUGGGGUAUCGACAUGCGUUGCUCGACACCCAAAGCGUAUGCAUAUUACGAUCACAUGAUCGAGAGCUCAGGGAUGGAAUAUGACAAAACAUUCCUACCACGUGCACAUACUAGUUUGGUAGUAUAGUAAAAAUUUGGUGUAAUCAUUACUCUCACUUUGUUGCCAGUUACAAACUCUAAAAUUCUACUAAGGCUACUUCAGGAAUCAGGACAAUGAUGACAAUGAUGAUACAGGGUCAUUUAGAAGACAAAAAUAUUAAAUCGGGUGUGUUUGUGUUUUUGCGAGGGGAAAGAUAGAAGUGGACAAGUAACUAUGGGGGUGUUCUGAUCUCCUCCCGCUCCACACUUCACAAUUUCCUGGAACAGAUAAGAGCCGAACGAAAUAACCUCCAGAAGCUGGCUUCGCGAAGCUGUGGUCGAUCCUAGUGGAAAAAUCCGGAGCAAGGAGGGCCCAGCUCCACCGAUUGGAAAAGCUAGAGUUCACCCUAUUUACAACAUCCUGCCACCGCUAAAGAAAACGGUUCGCUGAGUACGCUCGAAAAUUAGAACCUAUUGCUACAGGAUCGAUCUCCCUCGCCUCGCUGUGCACCUGUCGGCCCUAAUUGGGCUGCUUCCAGCCGGCCCAGUCUGAACCGUACAAGGCCACAGCCCUCCUAGCCGGGCCGCAGCGCUUGAGAAGCUGCAGAUGCAGCAGAACGCAUCUCAGAUCGCUGAUUGGAGUUAGAAGCCACGAAAACAAGUUGGAUAUGUGAAGUUUCGUGAAGCUAGCGGAGAUCAGAACAAUCCCUAUAUACUGGGCAUGAACAAACUUGGCAACUGGUAUCCUAAUGCAAGGACAUAAAUUUAUCAAAAUCUCCUGAAAGUAUAGGUUGUCCUGACAGAAAAAAAGCAUGACCAGGAUUAUGGAACUGACGGAAUACAUGAGGAACAGUGAACAAGUUAGCCUAUGUGACCAGGAAUACCAUGAUCACUGUUGAGAAUCUUGAUCUUGCUGAUAAUAUAAAAAUAAUAUGAAAGGACAUAUGUUGCUAGAACAAUACCAGAAAUCAUGCAAACUUCGGCGAUUGUCGCCCUUAAAAGUAGUUUUUGCAAAAGCUGCAUAGAACCUGCCAGGCAUGGCAAAGUUAACACUGGAAGAACGAGAUUAAAGGAUAUGCCAAUCAGAUGUGAAGACAAGUUUUACUAACAUUCCCAAAGCUGUGACGGUCAAAAUACCAGAGUACUUCAGUGCAUCUUGCACCUAGAAAUGAAUAAAAUGGAUGUAUCUAUAACUAAAAUAAGUCUAGAUACAACCAUUCCUAGGACAAGUAUUUCCGGACGGAGGGAGUAGUAUUUACUGCCUUGGCAAGAAAUAGUAAUCAUAACUGAAUAAAGAUCAAUCAGCUUUUAAUUAAACCACUCAGAUUUCAGCGUAGAUAGGCAGACUUGGAAAGAUAGCUUUAUCUGGUGUGCUUCCAUCGAGAAGGCGCUCUCAAACAAAAGGGCCGGAAGGAAAGCAGCCAGGAGAAGAUCAGGAUUUAUGUUAGCCCCUGCAAUUUUUGAAGCACAAUCAGCAAACGAUCAAUUCAGAAGUUGAAUAAACUAAUUCUCAAGUACUGUGUUGUUCCAGUCUUCAAAAUAAUACGUCCAUGGUGAACUCACUCACAGAUACGCAUGCCAGCUCCAAGUUUGCCUAGACCGUCUUUUGUCCCGUACUCUGGAUGUUGAACAGUAUUUACAAACUGUCAGACUGAGUCCGUCGUGCGGCAAAGGAAUGGAACCACAGAUUACUCUCUCUUUCUAAGGAGAAUCAGAUACUUAUUACUCCCAUUUGCCUUUCUGGGGGGUGGGGGAUAAACAGACCUAGUGACCCUAGGGCGACACCGAGGACAAGGAGGGCGAUGGUGUAGGGGACGCGCGUGCCGCGGAAGAGGUGGCGGCAGGCGGCACCCAGCACAAGGGACACACCGGCGAAGAGAACGGCAUCAUCGGGCUCAGCGGCGGUCGCCAUCAGAAGGGAGGAAACAGACUCGAGAUACUGUCGGUACUGCUUCCUGAAGAAGUGGUAUAUUCCUGGGAGCACAACUGCUCUGUGUCACGGCAAAUUGGACAUAAGAUAAAAUGAACUCUUUAAAUGUGUAGGUGUGAGGUUAAUUUAGAAAUACUGGAUUGACAGCAAUUCAAGUACAAAUUCGCCUCCAAAAAACACAUGUGACAAUGCUGCCAACUUUCUGAGCAAUCGGCAUCACAUAAUAUUUAGAAUACAUAAAAGGCAAAUAUUUACAGAAGUUCAUGAAAAAAAUCAUCCUUACACAACCCAAACUCUGCAUAAUUCAAUAUGUAGACGGCUGAAGAAAGCUAGGACUGUUAUAUAGUUUCUCGGGAUUUGACCAUCUAUUUUCAAGUAGUAGUCCGAGAAAUAGAAAGAGUGUCGCAAUUCCGCAUAACAAAUUGGACAACUAGCUAGGUCACAUCGAUAUACACAAAAUAACAAAAAUAUCCCAAGUCAACAAUGAUAUGCACUGAAGGGCUACUCAAAUAUGUCCCAGUUAAGACUUCCUCAGAGAUUCCAAACUUAGAAGCAUGUCAUAAAUUUCAAAUUAUAGCAUUUCGUAAUGGCAGCAUAUCUCGUGAAUCCGAGCUUAUUGUGUAUCCAUGUAUCCCUGUGAUCUCAGCCAUUAACACUAAAUCAUGCGCCUCCCGUGCAGCAACAGGAACAUUUACAAUUAGCCGCCCGCUUUUGGACCUAACAACCAUUUAUUUUGCAGCAAACCCCCCAAAAGUCUGUCCUCCACGAUCCUCAACCGAGGUCCCCAAGUCGUUUUGUGCUGCCCCAAAUCCUCUGAUCCUCUACUGCUAAAUCCCGCACGCCGUCGCUCCAAAACCUAAAUCCCAACCCAAGCCCUCGUGCGAUAGCAACCUUGGGCUGGACGGCUCCCAUGAAGUCCGUUUGCGACGGCAACCAAGAAGGGACGACAACGGCGACCAGCGACAACAACGGAGAUCCGGCGGCCGUCUCAACGACGAAGCCAUGGCGAAUUGAUGGUUCCGUGACGGUGACGACUCGUCUCAAAUGCGGCGCCAACACCCCCGGAUAGCCUCCUACAACCACGACAGUCCCGAUGUUGUAGCAUGACGUCUGUAGGAAGCUGUUUCUUGACUGUAGCAGAUGUAUUAGUGCGAUGCUUAAUGGCAUGUCAUGCUUAAUUGCUUUGCUUAUAGCCUGUAGCCUGUAGAGAUGUAGGCAUGCCGAAGAUGUACUAGUGCAGUGCUUGUAUCCUAUAUGAAGUCAGUUUGCUUAUAUCCUGAAGCUGUAGGCUGGAGUAACAGAUUGUACUAGUGCAAUUCUUGCUCACAUAGUCAUAUUAGUGAAAUUCCUGUCAGUUUGCUUGGCAUUUGAUGAUUUGAAGAAAAAAGCCUUCGCUGCUACUGUGAAAAAAUUCGGUGACUAGUUCAGUUAUGCAUUGAAAAAAAUAGGUGACUUCAUGUGGUCAAAACAUGUAGUGAUCAGCAACCUUUUUUGACUUAAAGGAAGUGGUCUGCAACAUCAUUGCCCGGUUUUGAGAUCAAUGCCAUAAGCAAAAAAUCAGUUUGAAAGGUUCCCAUGAAGUGACUAGAUCCAUUAUGUGUUGAAACUUUCUGAGUUAUUGUGGUUGAAGCAAAUACUGUUCAGUAAAGCUUCUGAACUACAAGAAGUGGCUUGUGAUGUGUUUGUUCAGUUUUGAGAUCAAACAUAUAAGCGACGCGACACUAUGAAAAGUUUAUUGAACAUUUGCCCUAGGUCUUGGUUGAUCAAAUAUAUUGACAAAAUUGCAUUGUUUGUCCUUCUACGAUGCUAGUCUGAGGAAAAAUAUUGGUGCAACAGCAAGCAUGGUCAACAUUUGAAAUCCUGAACUUCAGCUUCAUAUUUAACCAUCUAACAGAUAUGAAGGGGCAAUAAAAUUGCAUGUACUGCCACUAUACAGCCUCUCAAGUUACAUAGAAACCAGAAAUGUCAUCAUGCUUCCAUACUUGGUAGAAAAAGAUUAAGUGGAUACAUAUGUUCAAUAUUCUAUAACAAUUUGACAAGCAUCAUAACUUGUCGAAAUCAACUAAACUUUAAUUGGAUAUAACACAAAUUCUGAUCCAUUAUAUGACUUCAGUAUAUCAAAUUGCAAAUAAUAUAACAUAGAUUAAAUCAUUAUUUGCUUGGACAAUUUUGCAUAUCAGGAAGCACCAUUUGGUUGCACAUCUUCCGCAAUCAAGCUCCUUUUCCCUUGAAUAGUUUUGCUUGGACAAUUGCGACUAUCAUGAAACACCAUUUGCUUGCAUGUCUUGCACAAGCGUGCAACCUUUAACUUCGCUUCUUUGUCCUUCCUUUUCCUAUCACCCUCCUUGAUCUCCUUUCCACUCUUUAUUCUUUUGCAUCUCCCCACGGUACGAACAUCAGUUGGUGGAUGUAUAUGAACUUCUGUAGGAAUAUUACAACCAAUAAAAGCCUCAUAUUCCUCUUGCCUAGUGUUCUGUGUGGCUGCAGGGACCAUUUGGUCUAAAGGCGCCUCAAUGCUCAACACACUUGAUGUUAAGAAGUCCAUGCCUUCAUUUGAGUGCUUUGCCUUUUGAAUCAGCUCUUCCAUCUUAUCACGUAUAGUCGAAAUCUUCUUUCUCGUGGCUGCAUCUAGUGAAUCUGUGGGCUUUUCUUCUAGUAGGUUCCCCUGUUCAUCAUAAACAUUCUCCCUGAAAAGCAAAAAAGAUAUUGUUAGUCCUAUGAUUUUGAAAUUACAAUAAGAAAUUGAUUGACGUGCAUUUUUUUACCUCUUGCACCGUUUCUGCCAUCUUUUCAUAAUGUAGUAGUUGGGAAGCUCGUUUUGGUUCUCAAUCCUCAACACUUGGAUAAUAUGUCGACAUGGAAUACCGAUUGACUCAAAUAACUUGCACGGACAAUUUGCUAUCAUGGUUGUAGUGUCAUAGGAGACCUCCCUAACCUUAUCAGAUCGACCUCUCAGGGUCACCAUUUUUAACCCCACACCUUGUGCAAUACCCUGAACACAACAAUGAUCUCUAGCAGCAAUAACUUGUAGCUGAAAUUUCUCGAAUACCUCAUAUGUGAAUACCUCACUACCUUGUUUCUCCAUUGUCCAUGGCGUUAAUAGUUGUGGGGUGGUAUGCAUGCUUCUAUUGUCUGCCAUUAAUUCUUCCUCACGUUGGCAUUCUAAAGCUGUGUCGAACCUAAGCCAGAACUCAACAAAAGCAAGCCUACGAUGAAUGAAACGGUUGAAAAAAGAAUUUGCACUUUCUGACCUUGAAGUGGUUCGGAGCAAGCCCGCAAGAGAUAUAUCCAUAAAGUAGGCUGGUAUCCAUGUAUCUCUAAUGGUAAACCUCUUAGCUAACCACUCGUUAUCCUCCAACCCAAAAUCUGUAAUGAUGGAAUUCCAUUGUUUUCAAACUCACUUGCAGUUUCUGAACCCCAAACACAUGAGUUCAACCUCGGCCAAAAUUCAGAAUCUUCUCUAAUCAAAGGUCCAACUUUUUCAUGCACCUUUUCCAUUAUAUGCCACAUGCAUAACCUAUGCAUAGUGGCUGGAAGAACUUUGUCAAUACUAUUCUUGAUGCUAGCAGCUUCAUCAGUUAUGAUGAGUCUAGGUGCUACCCCUCCCAUUGCUUUUAGGAAGGUCUGAAAUAACCAAAUGUAUGACUCAUCCUUCUCAUUUGAUAAGAAUCCAGCACCAAAAAGGACACUUUGUAAGUGAUGAUUAACCCUUGUACAUGGUGUAAAUAUCAUGUUGUACUGAUUAGUGGUGUAUGUAGAAUCGAAGGAUAUCACAUCACCAAAGUGACUAUAGUUCUUCCUACUUGUGGCAUCCGCCCAGAACACACGCACCAGGUUCCCCUCAUCAUUCACCUCAAAAUCAUAGAAAAAUGCUGAAUUCACUUCCUGCUUUCUAGCUAAUUGGGCCACAAACAUUUGAGCAUCUGCGUCUCUGAUUUUAUACCUGAGUCCGCGAUAGUAAUUUUGCAAGUCCCUCUUUGUGCACCCAGCAUUCGGAAUUCCACCCUCGCUAACUUGCAGGAGCCUGUAUGCCUGGGAGGUUCCAAUGCUUGCCUUAUGACAUGUGUAUAAAGUAUUCUUUGCCCUCUCACUAACUCUACGAUUGGAUCUGAUCAAAUGACGCUUAUCAGGUGAUACAAGACCAUGAACAUGAUGCUCAAUCCAUGAGUCUAUCUUGUAGGUGUUCUCCCCACAAAGUCUAACAAAUAUAUGGGCAUCACAACCGCAUCGCGUGUCUGUCUGCUUACGUCUUUUCCUCAAGGGGUCAUUAAUCUCCUUAAUAUCUUUUGACUUGAAUCCUUCUCUAUUACACAUGAAACGCUUAGUCCGGACCACCUUAUUCUCAAUCUUUUUCUGCUGUCCAAUACGAACGCCAAAACCUGAUUGAUGUGCAUAUGCCUUGUAGAACUUCUCCACGGCCUCGAGUCCUUCAAAUGUCAUACCCACUUUAGGCUUCAAAUGCUCAUCACAUUCAGGUGUAAAAGAAGAAGACUGCAAUGUCAAGAAUAAACGGAAAUAAGAAACUUCAUGCGUUCAGUAUUUUUUGGCAAAUGCAUGCAUAGUUUCAGUUGUUAGUGCAAACUGAACUUACAAAGAGAGGUAUGGCUGUGUUCUUUUUGGGCGUACUAAAUCCCCCCGGGCUCAUAUGCAUUUGAAUGUUAUUGAUUGGAUCCAUACUUCUGCACAUGUAACUACACAAUUAGCCUUUCAAAAUACACUAUAUAUACACAAGGACUGAAUUUGUCGGUUGUUUUACCUCAAAGUUUUGAUGCCCGCGUGUCUCUGAUUGCAAGGGGUACUUGCUACUUGUCCGUCUCUAGUCGCCGCAGCAGCAGAAUAUUUCAGUUAUACAUGAGAUGGAUCAGAUCGGGGAAGUACAAGCAUGGGGCACUUGUUGGUGCUUGUCUGGUUCAUGUUAAGUGUUAACAUGGGAGUAGAGGAGCACGUAAAGGAUUGGGAUGCUACCUGCAUGGGGGCGGCCGGGUGGGUGCCGGCGCACGUCAGGAUCAAGUCGAUCGAGAUCAGAGGUACGUGCAGUUCGGCGGCGGCGGCGGCGCACGACACAUACAGAAGUUGGGGUGUUGUUGCAAAAUUAAGUUGCUGCUUUUAGUCGGAGGGCGGGCGUGUAAGUGUAAAAUUACCACAAACUCUGAUAAUUCGUACGAUUAAGAUCGUGGGGGUGAAAAGAAAAGGGAUACACGGACACACAAAUAGCUCGGAUUCACGAGAUAUGUUGCCUUUCGUAAUUACCUAACAAGAUGCAUUUCAAAACAUUGGUGUAUAAAUAAUCUGAUAUGCUUGUUUCUUGUACAUGGAUGGAUCUAAUCUGAUAUGCCACUGCUUCAAGUAUGAUCGUGGGCUCUCCGUGGAAGUGCUAGGGUUACCGUAGUCGGCGUGAUCACUCUGAGCGGCAGAGAGCAUGAAACAUAAAGGCGAGUCGAGCAGAUCGGCUAAGGAUCCAGCCGAAGAACUACUUGGUUGGCCACAUCUGCAUGAAGAAGGUGUCGAGGAGUUCAUAUGGGAAGAUGAGAUCACAGACCUGUCGAGAAGCCAAGUGGAUGGCAAUUGCUAAGAUACAUACUACGUGAGGGUUUAGCCCUAGGACGCUGUUCGCGGAUAUGAGAUCGGCGUGGAAUCCGACAAAGUGAUCUGGAGAUGUGUUGAAGACAAUUUAUUCAGUCCAGUUUGAUGCCUAGGCAAUUGGAACAAGGCAAUGGUCAUGGGACCAUGGUUCUUCAGAAAUAAGGUGUUCCUUAUGGAAGAAUAUGAUGGCUUUAUUAACCCUAGAAUGGUGGUUCUGGAUAAGACGGCGGUCUAGGCACAUGUGCCCAAAUUGCCAGAAAGCUUCCGGAGUGAGCCAAUCAUCAGAGGUAUGUGUAACCCAUGGGAGAAAUCUUGGAAGUCCAUAUCAAAUUACCGGCAGGAUUUGUUGGUGAGUUUGUGCGCAUCAAAUUACACACAAGUGGGACCAGGUCAGACAGCAGAAACAGUAGGCUAUGGGCUAUGUUUCACUGUUUGGUGUACGAGGUCUAACAAUUAGUGAAACGAGUCUGCUAAUAUCCUGACGCGUAUUGACCGUGGCUCAUAUCCCUGGGAAUUCUUAUUCGAUGCUCACUGCGUCAAAAUGUCGCUGCUUCGCACAGGAAGCGUCAGAUGGGCCGGCCCAUUUUAAGCUAUUAUACAUUCUACCAAUCCCAGUAUUGGGAACGUUAAGGUUUCCUGUCCGGUUUUACUGGUUUUGGGAACCUUCUAGAAGGUUCAGGUCCUUUUUUAUUUUAUGUUUUUUUGGGUUUUCCCUUUAAUUAAAAGAAUGUCCAGAAUUUUAAAAAUUGUUCAAAUAUUUCAAAACUUGUUCGCGUUUCAAAAAAUGUUCGUGUCUUAAAUUGCAAAACAAAAUGUUCAGAUAUUUUUUUAAAUGUUUGCAUUAAAAAAAUGUCCACGUUUUAAUAAAACGCUCAGAUUUUUUCAAACAAUGUUCCCUUUUCUCAAAAAAGUUAGCACUUUUCAAAAAAUGUCUUUGUUUAUUAAAAAAAGUUCUCUUUAAAAAAAUUAGCAUUUUCAUAAAGUGCUCAUGUUUUUUCAAAAAAUGUACACUUUUUAACGUUCUUUAUAAAUAAUUUACUUUCCCCUUUAUUUUCGAAAACCGACUCAAAAUUGCUAUGAUUUUUUGCUUCUAUUUGACGCUAGUUUCCAUGCAUAUCCCUACCCAAUUGGACGAUGAAGAUAGGAGGUGUACCUACAUGGGAGACCAACCUCAACUUUCCCUUUUCUAGUUGAUUACAAAAUGAGUUAAUGUUUCUAAAAAAAAUUAAUAAGCAAUCACUAACAUAAGAAAAUAUACACUAUAUAGGUGUCUUUACAGAAUUAUGCAUAUCUUUUAUGGUUUGAUGAAAUUAUAAAUAUCUAAUUCUACUUUCAUUAUUUUUUACGUAAAUAAUCAUACUGAUCUACAUAUCAAUCUACAUCAAUGGACAUAUCAAGCCAAAUAACACCCACGUCGGCUAAUAUAUCGUCGAUAUCUUUGAGGACGAUAUUUCUGCGAGGAUAUGCUAACCAAUACCAAUAUGUCGGCCAUAUCGGCCUAUAUUUAGAAGCAUUGUGGCACGAUUGAGUGUUAUGGUUAUGGCAGCACUGUAACUGAGGUCCUCGUCUCAAAGAACAUAUUCAUAUCCUUUGGAUUGCACCGCACAUGGCUUCCGCUCAGGUGUUGACAGGAGUGGCAAGUUCAUUGCAUUCAUCCAAAGAACCCACCAGGAGAGAAUAAGGGAUGCAGAGACAGAAAAACUAUGCCAAUAGUUGAGAAGGAGCGGUCCAGGGAAGGGAGGAUGCUGAUGAGGAGAUGAAGAAGGAUGCACAAGAAUAAAGGUGCUUCUUCUGAAGAGAGUUGCUACAAAGAAAAAGGCUGUUGGUGGAUAUGUAGAUCACUAUGAUUAUUUAUGUAAAAAAAGAUGUCAUAGGGUUUCCAAGUUGCCUGUAUACCCAACUCACAGCCACAGAAUCUCACGACAAUGUGAGUAUUCCAAGUGUCUUCGGAUGGAUGAGUAUUUUUUUCCUUUCCUAUUCUAUUGGUUCUGCACUGAGUUGAUUCAAAGCAGUAUGCUAUGCCCCGUUGUGCCAUCCGUCCCAGCUAUGACAUAUAGUCGUCUGAACAAUUUUCAAGUAAACCCGGAAGAAGAACAUUCGACUGCAAACAAACAGGAUUCCGUCGUUGAAUCAGGAAUCAUUGGUAUACUAAACAAUUCGAAGGUGGACACAACAAAUUAUGUGUAUGUGCUCAUGUACGUGGCAGACUGGAUAGCACUGUCAUAAUCCAUCAAUAUAAACACAGAGAACAAAUCCUUGAUUAACCGACCAAAAAUUGUGGAAUGGGCAGUGGGCAACUUACCUCAAAUCGGGCUAGCCGCUGCAGCACACCUCCGGCCGCCGGGCAAGGUUGCUGCCGAGUGCGGAUUGGGCGGCGGGCACCGGCUGUCAGGGGCGGGGUGGCCGAGGUGGCGCCGGCAGGGCGGCUCCUGGGCGUCUGGAGGCCAGGCAGCCGCACAGUGGCACACAGGCGCAGUGCGGCUGUCCGUGCGUUGUUUGUUGGGCUAGGGAUGGGUCAGGACGAGUAAGGCCACUAGUUUUGUUGGGCUUCCCUUUUCUCCUCCGGCCCGUCUCUAGUUUCCCAUGGUAUACAGGCAACUUGGAAACCCUAUAACAUCUUUUGCAAGUAGAAAAAUGAGGCAGUUAAUCAUUGUGUUCAGUUGUUCAAAAAUUUCAGAUGCAGAUGGUAUUACUUAUGAAUUCACAUAAAUUAACCUGACCACCCUACAAGUGCAUGCCAUGGUGUAAAGUUUCAUCGGACAUGUGGCUAUUCAUUCUGAAAAAUAUCCUUCAGUUGUCCCUCACACCUUGAACUUGCCAAUCAAAUUCCACAAAAGUUUAUAAGUGCAACCACAAAAAUGGAGUAGCAACUGUUAAGAUUGACUAGAAAAAACAUAACAAAAGGAUAAAGAAUGAUAGAUUUUCGGAGAGAAGAAGAGUUUUCCAUACUGCCGAGAGAUCUCUCGAACUCCUUCCCCUGACCCUAGACGGCUAGAGCAAACUCUCUUCUCCAGACUUUAUUGGUGAGGCCGUGGAUUUGCCUACCCUCUGCCUGUUGCUCUGGCGGUUGGUGGUGGGGAGGGCCAUCCUGGUGUCUCCGCUCCGGUUAGUAGUUUAGGUUAGAUUUUUUUCUCGCAAGUGCGGCGCUCGGGUGGAUCGCAACGCUUCUUCUUUGAGUAUGUCUUUCGGGCUUUGAUCCUCAUCGAGUUAGUUUGUGUGGACGUAGUCGACAGAGCUCCGGCAUAGAUUUCCGCGGUCCCCUUCGGGCGGUUAGGUUAGGAUUUCUCGUGACGUAGAUUUGGUGUCAGGUGCUUCAGAUCUAUGCAAGUGUUUAAUGUGACGACUACGGCUCCAGGACGCUAGUCCUUAGGGGCACAUGCAUGAAGACUUCCCGACUGUUAUCGACAGGGUUGUUGAAAUAUAUUGCCCACCUUCAUCCUUCAGUUCGGACUUUUAGAUGAGUUGACUGGAGCUGGAGCAUGAAUUCAAUAUGGCAUUCAAGCCAAGAGGUCUUGAGUUCAAGACCCUACCAACGCAGUAUUAAAUAAAACGAUUAUGCAGCCUACAUCGGUCCCACGUCUACGGACUAAAAUAGCCUCCAAGACUUUUGGAUGAGUUGGCUGGAGUAUGAAUUCAAUAAAGGUCAGUCUUUAGGGGCACAAUGCAUGAAGACUUUCUGGUUGUCAUCGACAAGGUCAAGCCAGCUCUAACACAUGGAUUGUAAGGAUCGCGAGGACUCUUUCCCUGCAUCAAUCCCACUGCACAUCCCAAACAUAAGCAUGACAAUCUUUUUUUUGCGGGGGAAACAUGAACAACUAUGACCGUGUGCAGCUUUAGGUGCAUCAAUCAGUCAAUUGCAAAUCAACGGCAUGUAUUGGCUUUUGUUACCAAAAGGUGGCGUAAUCAAUUUUGUAUAGCACUGUAAUUGGAUUGCACGGUAUAAAUAUUUCAAUUCCAUCCUAACUCAACCAACGUAGGUAACGGCUUUCGGGUGAAAAACUGUGAAACAAACACGUCCUUGGUGUUAUGACUUCACAUUGAGCUUCAUGUAAUCCAGAUUAUGGCGUGGCUCUCCUGAUAGAUGUUCUGUUCUGCAGUAGAACAUAUCUCAGACCUCAAAAAAGAUUACAGGCACAAUUUAUAUAUAUAAUUUUGCUCACAGUGAGCCAUACCCAGAUACCCUGCCAAGAUUUGGGACCAAUGCAAUUCCCGAAUUUAAGAGCAACGUAACUUAGAGAUUCAGUAACAUGUGAGUGGCAUACAAGUAGCACUAGGAAAACACUAUAGCUUGCCGGGUUACAAAAACAAAAACU